GCUGGGAUAGCUCAGUUGGUAGAACGUUAGAUUCUUAAUCUUAGAGUCAUGGGUUUGGGCUCCACCUUGGGCA